GACGAACGCUGGCGGCGUGCUUAACACAUGCAAGUCGAACGGAAAGGCCCUGCUUUUGUGGGGUGCUCGAGUGGCGAACGGGUGAGUAACACGUGAGUAACCUGCCCUUGACUUUAGGAUAACUUCAGUAAACUGGGGCUAAUACCGGAUAGGAGCUCCUGCUGCAUGGUGGGGGUUGGAAAGUUUCGGCGGUUGGGGAUGGACUCGCGGCUUAUCAGCUUGUUGGUGGGGUAGUGGCUUACCAAGGCUUUGACGGGUAGCCGGCCUGAGGGGGUGACCGGCCAUAUUGGGACUGAGAUACGGCCCAGACUCCGACGGGGGGCAGCAGUGGGUGAUAUUGCACUAUGGGCGGAAGACUGAUGCAGCAACGCCGCGUGCGGGAUGACGGCCUUCGGGUUGUAAACCGCUUUCGCCUGUGACGAAGCGUGAGUGACGGUAAUGUGUAAAGAAGCACCGGCUAACUACGUG
rnacentral:rRNA from 1 species